rnacentral:tRNA from 1 species
GCCGCUGUAGCUCAGUUGGUUAGAGCGCUGCACCGGAAUCGCAGGGCCGUAGGUUCAAUUCCUACCAGAGGAC